rnacentral:rRNA from 1 species
UACGUAGGGGGCAAGCGUUGUCCGGAUUUAUUGGGCGUAAAGAGCGUGUAGGCGGCCAUACAGGUCCGUUGUGAAAACUCGAGGCUCAACUUCGAGCUGUCGGUGGAAACUUUCUGGCUAGAGUCCGGAAGAGGAGAAUGGAAUUCCUGGUGUAGCGGUGAAAUGCGCAGAUAUCAGGAAGAACACCCGUGGCGAAGGCGGUUCUCUGGGACGGUACUGACGCUGAGACGCGAAAGCGUGGGGAGCGAACAGG